GCCAGGCGUGGUGGUGCAUGCCUGUAAUCCCAGCUACUUGGGAGGCUGAGGCAGGAGAAUCGCUUGAAUCCAGGAAGCAGAGGUUGCAGUGUGCCAAGAUUGCACCACUGAACUCCAGCCUGGGUGACAGAGUGAGAUUCUGUCUCAA
rnacentral:SRP_RNA from 1 species